GGUUGUCAUGCCAAUGGCACUGCCCGGUAGCUAAAUGCGGAAGAGAUAAGUGCUGAAAGCAUCUAAGCACGAAACUUGCCCCGAGAUGAGUUCUCCCUGAGACUUUAAGUCUCCUGAAGGAACGUUGAAGACGACGACGUUGAUAGGCCGGGUGUGUAAGCGCAGCGAUGCGUUGAGCUAACCGGUACUAAUGAACCGUGAGGCUUAACCUUACAACGCCGAA
rnacentral:rRNA from 1 species